rnacentral:lncRNA from 1 species
AAUAAAUAUUUAUGUCAUAUAACCACAAACAGGCCGCCAUGUUGAUUCAAAACCAUCCAAUCAGAAGCAGACAGGAAGUGCUGACACGUCAAAGUGAUCUGCUGGUGACUCAGUGAAGACACAUACAAACCCUCAGACUGUGACAAAGGCGUGUUUGCGCCCUCUGCAGGCAGUGCAGUGUUACUACCUGCAGUAACAGCAGGGCGACGUCCAUGGCGAUGAUGGUCAGGGAGUUCUCCUGCAGCCAAUCACUGAACGUCUGACUGCAGCCCUGAAAGCCACAAACCCAGCAGAAUCAUGGACACCAAACAUUGAGAUGCAGCCUGAGCCUUCAGAACAACCAGAGGACUCUGGGAACUCCACUGCAUCCUUCCAGCAGACACCAAACAUUGAGAUGCAGUCUGAGCCUUCAGAACAACCACAGGACUAUGGGAAAAUCUCAAACUCAAAAAACCUCAAGAAAAUCUCAAACUCAACUCAGGUCCAAGAACUGAGACUUGUAGGGCCUCGAGGCUUGCACUUGACUCAGACACCUUGGGCAAGAUUGACAGCAGUUCUACCUCGUCAUCUACCCUGGAUAACAUGGAUAUCAGUGGCACUCAACCAAGAAAUGGUAACAUAUAAAAAACCUCCAAAUGCAAACUGUAAUAAAUGUAGACAGAUGUUUAGUAGGUAAAGUAUAAAAUGCUUAAGCAAUGUCUUGUUGCUGUUAGGUUUUCAAACCACUGCAUUGUUUUUUAUCACAAGACAAGUUCAAAGGAAUGUUUCAUGGAAGAGGCCGAAAGUUACAAAUGUUGCCAUUAAACAUGUGUGAAAGGC